CAAUAGCGUAUAUUAAAGUUGUUGCAGUUAAAAAGCUCGUAGUUGAACUUCAGACCUGGCCGGGCGGUCCGCCUAACGGUGUGUACUGUCUGGCUGGGUCUUACCUCUUGGUGAGCCGGCAUGCCCUUCACUGGGUGUGUCGGGGAACCAGGACUUUUACCUUGAGAAAAUUAGAGUGUUCAAAGCAGGCAUAUGCCCGAAUACAUUAGCAUGGAAUAAUAAAAUAGGACGUGCGGUUCUAUUUUGUUGGUUUCUAGAGUCGCCGUAAUGAUUAAUAGGGAUAGUUGGGGGCAUUAGUAUUCAGUUGCUAGAGGUGAAAUUCUUGGAUUUACUGAAGACUAACUACUGCGAAAGCAUUUGCCAAGGAUGUUUUCAUUA
rnacentral:rRNA from 1 species